CUCUCUGUGGUCCUCCCCUCUCACGCCAUCCACGCCGCUCUCCUAACCUGCCCCCUCUCCCUUAUCUCUAGCCGCAGCCAAACCCUAGACGCUCCCCUCUCCCUUCCCUGCGCCGCCACUCUCUUUCCCCUUCUUCUUCACGUUUUCCCCACCAUCACCGAGCUUCACUGCCGCGGGUCCGCCAUGGCGCCGCCGCCUUGGGCGUCCCCUCGAUGAACCAACACCGCCACCAGACGCGCCUCGUCCUCCUCGUCUUCCUCCCCAAUCGAAUCGGGUCGUGGCUUCUCCAAUCAUCCCCAAUUUUGCCGUUCCCUCCUUCGAGUUGACGGCGUUUUUCUCCGAUUGUGCCGACCACCAUCCGUCUCCGGCCACGUCGAGCCCUCUGUCCUCUUCCUGAUCACCGCCGCUUCGCUGCUCCGACGACCUUUGACCGGCGGCGUCGCCACCUUCUGGUCCGCACCAGCGAGGCGAGUCCAGCGCGCCAAGUCUCGCAGCCUCGGGCGCCCUUCUUCGCCUGCGCGCGCCAUGCCAGUCCGCCGUGGUCACCACCCACUGCAGAACGCGAGCGGCAUCUGGCGUGCGCACAAGCUUCGCCACCGUGGCGGCCACGUCAGCGCCCUGGGCCCGCCCGUCAGCCGCUCGGGCUCGACCAGCUCGCGCUUUUUCUUCUUCACGGAUAGGAUCACGAAGUGGUGAUGUGAGGUACGACGAGUUCUCUGACAAGUUCUUCUGCAGCUUUUCACAGGCGAGCCCUCCCUCUUCACCUAUUUAUAUUUUGCUCUCCCCCGCACUGCUAUCCUUAUGUUGCGAUUCUCUAUCGAGUCACGUGUCUUAUUCCACUUGUUUACCAUAAUAAUCCUAUAUGUAUCAUUCCUUACCCAUAGUCGUUGGUUGAUGUUUGAGCCUUGCGAGUCGUAGGCGUGUUUAGGCUCUGUUGUUUAUCUCGAUCUGUUAUCGGGAUAUGUUGGGUUGUUGGGAGGUUAUCACAUGCUAUAUCAGUUGUUGAAGAUACACAUGCUUUACUUAUUUGUUAACAACUAAAAUUGUAAGCAGAGGCA